rnacentral:snoRNA from 1 species
AUGAUCAUACUUCACUUGGAGUCAUUCUAGUGUGAUUGCCGUUCCCUCGUCUGAAACUCAAGAUCAAAUUCAACCACGAUGAAGACCUUGAGUGUGAUUCUCUGAGCAGAAGCUUUAUCUUGAAUUCUGAAGAGCAUUGAUGACCGUUCUGGUUCGGUCUUCUCGAAGAAGUUCAGGGAGGAUCGCACAGGCUGAGUGAU